CUGAAGAGGGAAGACCCACCCAGGGUGUGGGUGGCACCACCCAAUAGGCUUGGAACCUGGAUGGAAUAAAAAGGGAAAGAAGAAGGAAGUCUUUCUGCUUCCUACCUGCCAUGCUCAUCUACUGUGCUGCCUUGCCUUGGAGCCAGCUGACUACAGACUGAAACCUCUACAAAUUGUAGUAAAGAACAAUUCUAUUUUGACACAAUAGCUGUCUUGGGAUUUGGCUUCCAGAACCAUCCAGGAGGCAAAAUUACAAUUCCACUGUCAAGUGUAUAGUUGCUUUUAAACACAAAAGCUGUCCUUAUAAAAGUUGCAUCCCACAAGAACAUUUGUGGAUUCAAAAAUAUCCUAUUUAGCUUCUCUGGACUUGGAAUAGGAUAUCAAUACUGGCUUAAAAUUAUCUGUGGCAGAUUUUUAAAUGUUUUGGAAGAGAAAGUGAGGAGAGAAGAAAAGAUGAAAUGGGGACUUUUUUCAUUUGGCUUAAAAUCAAUGAUUCAAGACUGGUGUUCACUGCCUGGGAAAUGAAGCCUCUGGUGAGCAUCAUGGUGUAUGUAGUCCAGCUACAUGUGGUUCAUGAUUUGCACAGGUUUCCCCACUUUGCAUCAUGAGCAUUGGCUGAAAUUAUUCAGGGAGAUGUGCUAGCUAUAGAGAAUAUGAUUUAGAACUGUAUUCCUGGCUUGCAAACUCCCUAUCCAAGAUUGUGUUGGAUUGAUACAACUGCUGCUUGGAACCUAGGAAUGUGAUUGAGAACAGCCAUGUCCAUGGUCAGUGUGGGCACAAUCUGGCAUGGUCUUGGAGGCAGAGGUGCUGACAAAUGGAGAGCCAUGAUGCAUUUGGACAAACCAGGAAACCAUCUGUGGGCCCAAAGAAAAGACCUAUGAGAAUGCCUGCCCAUUCAAGGAGCUAAACUCUCAGAUGACCACCAACUUCGAUCUCUCAGAUGGGCAUGAAACACAAAAUGCUUUGUGAUUCAGCCCUCCUCUUCCAUGCCUCCUUGCCUUGGAAUUAGUUGACGGUGGACUGAAACUUCUACAAACU